rnacentral:sRNA from 1 species
GCUGCACAGGCAGUUACUGCUGCACACCCAGCUCAUGGACCAGCUGCAGCAGCAGGAAGCUUGGGGCAAAGCGGUGGCUGAGAUGGCCCACCAAAAGUUGCAGGAGACCCAGGGGAGGGAGUUGCUGAGGAUGGGGCCCCGAGGGGGAUGACCUGGCAACCUCCGUGCCUUCUCACUCUGUUUCCCGUCCCCUUAGGAACCAGCUGCCAGCCACCAGAACCAACAGCCAGAGACCCAGCUAAGCCUCGUGGCUCUCCCUGGAGAAGGAGAUGGAGGAGAACAUCUGGACAGUGAGGAGGAGCAGGCGCCUCAGCCCAUGCCAAAC